UGUUCUUAUCAGUUUAAUAUCUGAUACGUCCUCGAUGAGAGGACUUUAUAUUAAACGGAUUUUUGGGUUCGGGAGUUGGACCCGGAGCUUGCUCCCUCCGCUCCGCGCAUCGUCCCGGUAUUGCAGUGCCUCCGGGAACGGUGC
rnacentral:snRNA from 1 species